CCGUUUCCGACCUGGGCCGGUUCACCCCUCCUUAGGCAACCUGGUGACCCCCCGCUCCCAGGAGGUCACCAUAUUGAUGCCGAACUUAGUGCGGACACCCGAUCGGCAUAGCGCACUACAGCCCAGAACUCCUGGACUCAAGCGAUCCUCCUGUAGAUCGGAAGAGCACAC